UAAGGAAAAAACCAAGAAAUUGAUUAAGUUUGUUUACAACCUAGUAGUAAGCCCUUGAAGAUGACUGGUCACACAGUCGAAAGCUAGGCUCAAAUUUGGUCACAUCAACUUUUGGAGUUUUAAUUUUGUCGAAUCCAGGCGAUACAACGCAAUAUCCAAUUUCGU